UUUUAAAAAAAGGAUAAAAUUGGAACGAUACAGAGAUUAGCAUGGGCCCUGUGCAAGGAUGACGUGUGAAUUCGGGAAGUGGUCCUUAUUUUA
rnacentral:snRNA from 1 species